rnacentral:rRNA from 1 species
GCCGUGAACCAGCAGCAGGUCGGCGGGCAGGGACCGAACACCUGGGUCGGCAACGACGCCAACACGCUGCUGGUGGUGGCCACGCUGAUCACCACGCUCACCUACCAGCUCGGCACCAACAUCCCCGGCGGGUACUGGCAGGAGACAAAAUCGCUGGACGGCAGGGAGCUUUACCGCGCCGGCGACCCCAUCAUGCGCGACCUGCACCGCCCAAGGUACUGGUUGUUCAUGGCGGCGAGCUGGGUUGGGUUCGCGAGCUCGAUGGUGAUGACGCUGAGCCUGCUGGUGCGGAUGUCGGCGGACUCGCGGCACGUGCGGUGGUCGUUCGUGGUGGCCUACUCCAGCCUCGUGCUCACCUUCGUCUGGGCGGGCGUCCGCGCCUUCCUCUGGCUCGUCAUCAGCGUCCACCCGGAGCACCGCACGCGCAUCGUCCAGGCACUCUGCUGCAGCCACCGCAACUAG